AUUGAACGCUGGCGGCAUGCUUUACACAUGCAAGUCGAACGGCAGCACGGGCUUCGGCCUGGUGGCGAGUGGCGAACGGGUGAGUAAUACAUCGGAACGUACCCAGUAGUGGGGGAUAGCCCGGCGAAAGCCGGAUUAAUACCGCAUAUGCCCUGAGGGGGAAAGCGGGGGACCGAAAGGCCUCGCGCUAUUGGAGCGGCCGAUGGCUGAUUAGCUAGUUGGUGGGGUAAAGGCCUACCAAGGCGACGAGCAGUAGCUGGUCUGAGAGGACGACCAGCCACACUGGGACUGAGGCACGGCCCAGACUCCGACGGGAGGCAGCAGUGGGGAAUUUUGGACAAGGGGCGAAAGCCUGAUCCAGCAAUGCCGCGUGUGCGAAGAAGGCCUUCGGGUUGUAAAGCACUUUUGUUUGGAAAGAAAAGGUUUGGGUUAAUACCCUGGACUGAUGACGGUACCAAUCGAAUAAGCACCGGCUAACUACGUGCCAGCCGCCGCAGUAA
rnacentral:rRNA from 1 species